UUCAGAGGAAACUGCUGUCUGCCUUAUUUAUCACCCAUGAGAUGCUUGGGCAAAUCAAGACAAUCACGUGCAAGACCUAGCAUUGUUUUCUUCAGCAGUGCAAACACUCGUUCUCUUACUUCCGCUCUCUCUGUGUGCACUUCAGGCCUCUGCUCAGUCAUGCAACAAGUUCAGUGAAGUUGGAGAUUCAUGAAAUUGGAGACUGAUUAUAUUCAUGAGUCCCUACCUGUGGCAUCCAUGAAGAACUUUGUUAUGCUUAACAAGUCAAAAAAUAUGCAACUUGGAUUAAUAUCAUUACAUACUACAACUCCUCAGGUUGGGAGUGCCUGUGUGAAUGUAACCACAGUGACGCACAGAGCUGAAGAAAGGAUGGGUCCAGCAAUUAAAUAGAAAAAGAAGAAUGCCUUAUUAAUGACCUCAGGCAAGAUGCUGAUGAGCUCUGCGUGGUGCCCCAAAGGUUAGCACGAGCUGCCUCACGUGAACAGGAAACUGGGGCAGACAGCAGAGCAUGUCUUUCACAUUUAAUGGGAUCUCGUUCUCUCCAAGAGGAACAGCAUGAAGCAAAUGGACCAUCCAGCACUGACUGCAGCUUGUGUGUGGUCUGUAACUAUGUGUGCAAUCCCAUAAGGACACCUACUCAAGAGAUAGUUUCUAUGAAGUGUUUUGGGCAAGGGGAGAGCAGCCAUGCUGGAGGCUGGUGGAAAGCAGCACCUCAGCAGCCUCCUGCCAUGUCAAGACAACACUGGUCUGCAAAUAUUUCUUGGUAAACUGUGGAGACUGUGGUGCAGAAAAGGAGAAAGAGAAAGGGUUCCUCAAAUUCAAACAUCCUCAAAUACAAGCUGGAGAUUAUUGUCUUUCCCCUGCCCCUUCCCCAUCACAGAUCACUUGGAAGACUCUGUCCUCUUGCCAUGACAGAGGUCCCAAGUGCUGACCAUUUUCGUCACCAACACAGAACGGGGAAGACGCUUGGUGAGGCCAAGUAGAAGCACUUCUCUCUGCUUUGGAAUCAGACUAUAUAUCUGGGAGAGGAAGAGGACAGAGGGAGAAAGGAACAACAAAUCCUCUUUUGCUCUGAGAUGUGCACAUGUGUUUUCUGAUGGUUACCUUAUUAUAAGUUCUUCCAUCUCACCCCUUUCACCAUUCUCUAAUAAUUCCAAUAAAUGUCAGAUCCGAUCUCAGUUAAUGAAAUGUACACCUAUUAAAUUACCAAAGUGGAAAAAUGGCCCACCCUGACUCCCUGCCUUGAGACCCAGCUGCAACGCCUGCUUUUUACCCUGCAAUCAGAUGAUUUUACCAGGUCUCAGGAAAUUUCUAGUAAAAUAAACAAAUUUUAAAAAUCCUAUGGGACUUCCAGCUUGCUUCAUGAAGGAGCCCUCAGAUGUUAUUGUAUACGAGGAGCCAUUUGGUUCAUGUGUGACUGCAAGCACUAACCAAAGGCAGCAUAAUGGGAUAGGUAUUUACAACAUAACCAUUAUCUUAUCAGAGCUUCAGGUAUAGCUGUAAAUAGCCUGUUCCAGCUGGGCAAUCUGCUGAGUUAAAUGGGUUCUACUUUUAGAAGCAGGAACUGGAGAACAUGUCCCACUUAAAUGCAGAUUCACUUGCACCCAAGGGAUGGAAACUCAAACAGCUGACCCUGGCCAUGGAGGAGGUCCGUGUUCUGUGCAGUGUUGCUCCCUCCCUCUGACGCAGCAGGCUGAGCUCACACGGUUUGCACUGCUAGCACAAGUGCUCUGUUGACAGAGUCCUGUUUGCAGCUCACCAACCGUAGAGAAUUGCAGUUCCUUGGGUGGGAGGUGAUUUUGCACAGUCAGAAAAAAAGAAAGUCAAGGCUGAAGGUGGAAGAAGAGAGACGAUUUUAGAAGAAGUGAGAACAAGAAAGGGAGAGGGCAGAGAAGGAUUGAGGAAGGAGAACAUGAAAAACAAGACUGGAGAAAGAACAAAUGUUAAAGGACAAGCUUUGCCACUGUCUCCUUGGCUGUGACCUGCCUGAAUGGGACUAAGUGUUUACUCUCUGCAUGCUGCUAUGCACUGAGUGCCAGACUGUGAAGAGAACAUUGCAAACAGACAUUAGGAGAAGGACUUGGUGUUGCUGGCUGAUGAAAAGCUCAAUUAUGAGACAGUAAUAUGCAUUUCAGCAGAGAAAAACAACUGUAUCCUGUGCUGAAUCAAAAGAAGUGUGAAGAACAGGCCAAAAGUGGUGAUUCUCCUCUUCAACUCUGCUCUUGUGAGAUCCCACCUAGAGUACUGGAUUCAGCUUUGAGCCCCUGCAGAAGAAGGAAAUGGACCUACUGGAGUGAAACCAGAGGAAGAUCUCUACAGAAUUAAAGAAAUGAGAGAAGAUGUAGUGGCAAAAUGGUGUGCAACUGCCUGUCCCAAACUCUAUCACAACCCUGGAAGUGGAUAUACAAGACCUCAGUCUUCCUAUCCAUCUGUUGAAUGCAAAUAGCUGAGAAAAUCCUACCCAGAAUGAAUGUCCUACUCAUUCCCCUUCUGUAUGGGAACUGCUGAAUCACGGCCUGAACCUCUGAUUGAUCAUCUGAGGCGAGCAAUGAGUCAGCCACA